UCCCAGUUCGGACUGUAGUCUGCAACCCGACUACACGAAGCUGGAAUCGCUAGUAAUCGCGGAUCAGAAUGUCGCGGUGAAUACGUUCCCGGGUCUUGUACACACCGCCCGUCACACCAUGGGAGUCGGGAAUGCCCGAAGUCAGUGACCCAACCUAUUGGAGGGAGCUGCCGAAGGCAGGUCUGAUAACUGGGGUGAAGUCGUAACAAGGUACC
rnacentral:rRNA from 1 species